GGGGGAACUGAAACAUCUAAGUACCCCGAGGAAAAGAAAUCAACCGAGAUUCCCCCAGUAGCGGCGAGCGAACGGGGAGCAGCCCAGAGCCUGAAUCAGUGUGUGUGUUAGUGGAAGCGUCUGGAAAGGCGCGCGAUACAGGGUGACAGCCCCGUACACAAAAAUGCACAUGCUGUGAGCUCGAUGAGUAGGGCGGGACACGUGGUAUCCUGUCUGAAUAUGGGGGGACCAUCCUCCAAGGCUAAAUACUCCUGACUGACCGAUAGUGAACCAGUACCGUGAGGGAAAGGCGAAAAGAACCCCGGCGAGGGGAGUGAAAAAGAACCUGAAACCGUGUACGUACAAGCAGUGGGAGCACGCUUAGGCGUGUGACUGCGUACCUUUUGUAUAAUGGGUCAGCGACUUAUAUUCUGUAGCAAGGUUAACCGAAUAGGGGAGCCGAAGGGAAACCGAGUCUUAACUGGGCGUUAAGUUGCAGGGUAUAGACCCGAAACCCGGUGAUCUAGCCAUGGGCAGGUUGAAGGUUGGGUAACACUAACUGGAGGACCGAACCGACUAAUGUUGAAAAAUUAGCGGAUGACUUGUGGCUGGGGGUGAAAGGCCAAUCAAACCGGGAGAUAGCUGGUUCUCCCCGAAAGCUAUUUAGGUAGCGCCUCGUGAAUUCAUCUCCGGGGGUAGAGCACUGUUUCGGCAAGGGGGUCAUCCCGACUUACCAACCCGAUGCAAACUACGAAUACCGGAGAAUGUUAUCACGGGAGACACACGGCGGGUGCUAACGUCCGUCGUGAAGAGGGAAACAACCCAGACCGCCAGCUAAGGUCCCAAAGUCAUGGUUAAGUGGGAAACGAUGUGGGAAGGCCCAGACAGCCAGGAUGUUGGCUUAGAAGCAGCCAUCAUUUAAAGAAAGCGUAAUAGCUCACUGGUCGAGUCGGCCUGCGCGGAAGAUGUAACGGGGCUAAACCAUGCACCGAAGCUGCGGCAGCGACACUAUGUGUUGUUGGGUAGGGGAGCGUUCUGUAAGCCUGUGAAGGUGUACUGUGAGG
rnacentral:rRNA from 1 species